CAUGCACUCGUGAGUUUUUCAAAGACCUCAAAUAGCACUCGUCCUUCGGACUCACUCGUGCAUGUCAUAUCUAAAUUGCACUCAAAACCAUACAAUUACAUAUACUAUUAACUAGCAAAUUUUAACGCAGCUACAGUACGUGUUUUCAGAGUAUACGAAUAACAUGAAAACUGAAAAUGACAUGUGUAAAAUAAAAUUCAUAGAAAGUCAACGUUACAAUUAUACGUUCAUAUUAAAUAGAGGUC